CACAGCAAUUAUUUAAAAAUCCUUCGAGGCAACGUGCAGGAGACAGUAUGCAAAACACUUUAAUGUUUGUUAUGAGAUAAUGAGAGCAUGCAGUUCUUUGAUUUCCACUAACUCAGAGGGGUUUCUCCGCUGACUGGGAGCUGUGACAAGCCUGCCAAUGUUCCCCAUCAGACCCGGUGGGUAGCGUCUGGGGUCAGAACCCACUCUUGUGUCUUCCCCACACACGAGGUUCUGUGGGGUCUUGGCCAGUGAUACUCUGAAGGUCUUAGACUUGCAGCUGGAGGAGUGGUUGUCCAUGCACCAGCAAGCAUUCCCUGGAACUUAGUUUAAAACCUGCACCUCCAGAGUCAGAAUCCGCAUAUGCCCUUGGGACUUUCAGCUGAUGUGCAUGCUGCUCAUGACUUGAGAAGAGCUUCUC
rnacentral:lncRNA from 1 species